rnacentral:rRNA from 1 species
GAUGAACGCUGGCGGCGUGCCUAAUACAUGCAAGUCGAGCGAACAGACGAGGAGCUUGCUCCUCUGACGUUAGCGGCGGACGGGUGAGUAACACGUGGAUAACCUACCUAUAAGACUGGGAUAACUUCGGGAAACCGGAGCUAAUACCGGAUAAUAUAUUGAACCGCAUGGUUCAAUAGUGAAAGACGGUUUUGCUGUCACUUAUAGAUGGAUCUGCGCCGCAUUAGCUAGUUGGUAAGGUAUCGGCUUACCAAGGCAACGAUGCGUAGCCGACCUGAGAGGGUGAUCGGCCACACUGGAACUGAGACACGGUCCAGACUCCUACGGGAGGCAGCAGUAGGGAAUCUUCCGCAAUGGGCGAAAGCCUGACGGAGCAACGCCGCGUGAGUGAUGAAGGUCUUCGGAUCGUAAAACUCUGUUAUUAGGGAAGAACAAAUGUGUAAGUAACUAUGCACGUCUUGACGGUACCUAAUCAGAAAGCCACGGCUAACUACGUG